rnacentral:rRNA from 1 species
GCAGUCGAGCGAACAGACGAAGGAAGCUUGGCUCCUCUGACGUUAGCGGCGGACGAGGUGAGUUAACACGUGGAUAACCUACCUAUAAGACUGGGAUAACUUCGGGAAACCGGAGCUAAUACCGGAUAAUAUAUUGAACCGCAUGGUUCAAUAGUGAAAGACGGUUUUGCUGUCACUUAUAGAUGGAUCCGCGCCGCAUUAGCUAGUUGGUAAGGUAACGGCUUACCAAGGCAACGAUGCGUAGCCGACCUGAGAGGGUGAUCGGCCACACUGGAACUGAGACACGGUCCAGACUCCUACGGGAGGCAGCAGUAGGGAAUCUUCCGCAAUGGGCGAAAGCCUGACGGAGCAACGCCGCGUGAGUGAUGAAGGUCUUCGGAUCGUAAAACUCUGUUAUUAGGGAAGAACAAAUGUGUAAGUAACUAUGCACGUCUUGACGGUACCUAAUCAGAAAGCCACGGCUAACUACGUGCCAGCAGCCGCGGUAAUACGUAGGUGGCAAGCGUUAUCCGGAAUUAUUGGGCGUAAAGCGCGCGUAGGCGGUUUUUUAAGUCUGAUGUGAAAGCCCACGGCUCAACCGUGGAGGGUCAUUGGAAACUGGAAAACUUGAGUGCAGAAGAGGAAAGUGGAAUUCCAUGUGUAGCGGUGAAA